rnacentral:rRNA from 1 species
CCUGAUUAGCUAGUUGGUGAGGUAAGGCUCACCAAGGCGACGAUCAGUAGCUGGUCUGAGAGGAUGAUCAGCCACACUGGAACUGAGACACGGUCCAGACUCCUACGGGAGGCAGCAGUGGGGAAUUUUGGACAAUGGGGGAAACCCUGAUCCAGCCAUUCCGCGUGAGUGAAGAAGGCCUUCGGGUUGUAAAGCUCUUUCAGGAGGGAAGAAACGGUUGCAGCUAAUACCUGCGACUAAUGACGGUACCUUCAGAAGAAGCACCGGCUAACUACGUGCCAGCAGCCGCGGUAAUACGUAGGGUGCGAGCGUUAAUCGGAAUUACUGGGCGUAAAGCGUGCGCAGGCGGUUUUGUAAGUCAGAUGUGAAAGCCCCGGGCUCAACCUGGGAACU